UAUGUAACUUAUUCAAGGUCACAUAACUAGCAAUUGGCAAGAUUUGAACCUAGAUCUGAUUUCUGAGCUUAUCUGUCAAUCAGAGUUGGAACUAACAAGCAGCCUUAAACAAACCAAGCAGCCUUCUGGGGUAUUUAUUCGUAAGGACUAGUAACACAUGAAUCACUGGAAUAAGAAUAAAUAGCACCAAUUAAAAUAUGUUUCCAUAUAAUAAUUCUUACCUUAUGAAACACACACACACACACACACACACACACACACACACACACAUGAGCACUGAAGGAGGCCAUAUCUUUCAUUGGAUGUACCCUCUCCUCUGACUCAUCUACACCUACUCUUGUUCUGCAUGAGUUUAAGGUCUAGGCCUUUGAUCAAGGCUAGGCCUUUGAUCAAGCCUUUCUUAAUUCCCUAAGCUAGAAGCAGCGUCCUAUUCUGAAACCAUACCAUGUUUUUGUUUUUAUGGCUCUUGUUUUCUCUCCUAGUGUCCUAGUUUCAUCAGGAUGAUAAAAGGGGACUCAGUUUGAGCUGAGGUCCUAUGUGCCCAUUACUCUCAUGGUUCAAAACUGCACCUUUGAAGCAGGGCUUGCUGUGCAACACAGACUUUGAGCUCCUGUAUGUGGGAGCUUGGCAAGUUGGGAGAGGUCAUGUCUUAGUUAUCUCCGGAAAUCAACCAGAGCUGGGCACCCAUUCAUUUAAUACAUAUGUAUUGAAUAAAUAUUUUGUGAGGAGAUUAAGCAAAAUGUGAUCUUUAAUUAAAAAGUAAGAAAAAAGUACAGUGAUUACUUUUUUUUUUAAAGAAACUUUUAAUUUUAGUUUUAGAUUUACAGAAAAGUGACAGAGAAAGCACAGAGGUCCUACAUGGCUUCAUGCACAGCUACCCCUAUUGUUAACAUUUUACUUUAGCUGGUGGUGUAUUUGUCACUGCCAAUGUACCAGUGAUUACUUUUUAAUCCGUAGAAAGUCUACUUCCUGCAGUAUGAGGUAAUGAAGAAAACCACGCCACAGUAUUUAUUUCAAAGAAUAGCCGUUUUGAUUUCUGGAUCAAGGUUUUGUAGUAUUUGUGAAGCUUUUUCAAGAAUUUGCUUUCUACAAGUGUUUUGCUUCUCAAUUCCAGUUAUAAAUCAAAGCAUAUGGCAGAAUUCCUAGUGAGCCAUAGCACUAAGCCCUUUGACCUUUGAAUGUCAUAAAGUACUGAUGCUUUUCUUUAACAUGGUUUAGGAGGAACUUGAUAUUUAUGUGAGCUGUCAUCCUUUCUGUUCCAUGAUGGAGUACUCCAUGUUGUUGUCAGAAAUAAGGGAUUAAAAGUUAAGAUUAUUUUUGGUUCCGGUCGUUUUGUAUAAAACCAUACAGUGUUACGAGUUGAGCAAGUAAAAUUUUUUAAUCUAAGAAAUUUUCUUUCCUGGAUAGCCCACCUUUUACAUCCUUGAUCCAAACAAAGUAUGCGGUCUUCCUCACAGAAUAAUUGCAGAGGAAAAAAUCAGUUAACAUAAGAAAAAUACUUGAAAAGCCAGAAGCUCUAAAUAAAUUCAAGCAACAGAAUAGAUUUUGUGUUAAUAAUGUGAUACACACUUUAUCACGAUUUGCCAGAACCACAUUUGGUAAUCUCUUAUUUCACGUUUAUGUAUUUACAAGCAGUUUAAAGCAUUCAAGUAAAUAAUGAUGAGGUUUGAAGUACAGUUGGUCAUUGCACAAUGUGGGAGUUAAGAGCACUGACCCCCACGCAGUUAAAAAUCCACAUAUGAUUUUUGACUCCCCUCAAACGUAACUACGAAUCCUCACCAAUAACACAGUCAAUUAACACAUAUUUUGUAUAUUAUAUGUACUAUAUACUGUAUUCCUUCAAUAAAGUAAGCUAGAGAAAAGAAAAUGGUAUUAAGAAAACCAUAGGGGUGCCUGGGUGGCUCAGUCGAUUAAGGAUCUGACUUCAGCUCAGGUUAUGAUCUCGCAGUUAGUGCGUUUGAGCCCCGUAUUGGGCUCUGUGCUGACAGCUCAGAGCCUGGAGCCUGCUUUGGAUUCUGUGUCUCCCUCUCUUUCCGCUCCUCCCCCGCUCAUGGUCUGUCUCUCUGAAAAAUAAAAGAACAUUAAAAAAAUAAAAAAGAAAUGAAACCAUAAGGAAGAGAAAAUAUGUUUGCAGAGAACUGCACUGUAAAGAAUCUGUGUAAAGGUAAAUCCACACAGUUCAAACCCAUGUUGUUCAAGGGUCGUCUGCUCUCAAAUGGUACGCCCAUGCACAGAUGGCUUGGUGGCUGUUUUUGCAGAUAACUUAAUCACCUGUAAUGGAAAUGUCAUCUAUUGGAUACUUUUUUAAGUGUCGUCCAUUCUCAGCAGCACUGUAGUUAUUGGGACUCUUUUCAUCACACCUGCCUCCAGUGCUGGUGAUUGGAUGUCUUUUGUGACUCCAAACUCAGUAUGUCUAAAACCAGUUCAUCUUUUAAAGUCAUGAUGAUUUCUCUGGACAUCCCCCUUUCAAUUUAUGGUAAUAAUUCAGUGACCUCCCUCAAGUCUGAUACUUUGCCUUUGAUGUUUUUUCUUUCCACCCAGGUGUUCCUACAGUCUUCAUGUUGUUGACCUUGCAUGGCCUUUGUAUGCAUUUAUUCCCUUCCACUUGUGAGUUCUUAGUUCAAAGCUGGAUCCCUUCAUAUAUGGAUUAGGGACAUAGCAUCCAAACUGGUCUCAUUUCUAUUUUCUCUUCCCCAGCACACACACAGACACACACACAGCACACUUCCACACCCAACAGACCACACUCAUACACCAGUGUCCCCCUAUAUCCUCCUGCACAUGUGCGUGCACACACACACACACACACACACACACACACACACAAAUAUACACAUAUACAGUUUAGUUGAUCCAGCUUGUGGCCACAUUAAUGUUCCUAAGGUACUUCCAUCAUUUCAACAUACUAAAAAACUUUCAGUGGAUGGCUCCUCGUGUUUCUAGAUUGUGGUAUGGACCUCUCUGUUUGUAGGCAAUUUGCCUUUUAGUUCACUUUGUUGAGAACUCUUCUUCUGCCAUGCCCCUGGAUUUCUGUAUACAGAAGGAGAUUUAUGUGCCUUUUAUUUGUUCUUUCUGCUAGUCUUUGUUUAAUAAAGUCACAUGUUUUUGUGGCAUUAUCCAGAACUCAGUUGGGAUUGUCCUAUUAGCCUAGGCCUAGAAUCCUCUGUCUUUCAUAUAAAAAACAGAAUAUCCCCAGGCAAGCUGAUUGAUUCAUCUUGGGACUUCUGAAAAUUUAUAGGAUUAGGUAAACUUAUUAUUGCCACUAGAAGCGAUGCUUUUUCAGCCCCAAAGGUCUUAGAAGAAGCUAUAAGCAUCCUGUGGUCACUUCGCUCAAUAAGUAGGGGCGGUUAUUGCGGCUUUAUACAAUUUCACUAUUGUUUUUUUGAAAUGCUGGCCAAGUGGUCCCUGCCUCUGAAGCAUUUUGGAAAACAUCCUGUCCCCCAAAUGUUUGUGGGUUUGAGGCCUCUCCAUGGGGCAGAGGCCUUUUAUGGUAUAUCAUUUUAUAUGGAUAUAUAAUUGAAUCAACUAUAAUAUUGAUAAUUGGGUUUUACAUAAGACUUCCUAUUUCAUACUAAGUAGUAAUUAGUUACAUUGUAAAGGUGGAAAGAAUGGUGUUGUGUAAUUCAUUUCAUUCUAAUUAUCUGCAUUAGAAUUUGAAUUGUCGUAUUUGCCAUAUGCUUGCCUUUUAGGCUCAGUAAAGCAAAGAACAAUUGUGGAGUAGAGAAGUUAAAUCAUUUGUUGUAAAAUAUGUGGCACAGUGUUAGGGUGCUUUGGGCUUCUUUAUCUCUAUGGCUUGAUACAGCUUUUGCUUGGAUUCAUGGUCUGGUGUGAAGUGUCUGGCAUUUGAAACUGGUUAAAAUAUUUUCUAUCUAUGCUUAGAAUGUAGGACUGUGAAUUUUCUCCUUUCAGUAUUUCUAAGGCAGUUAUCUUCACUUUGAAUUUCUGUGUGGCAUUUCUGAAAAACAAACAAGCGUGUGUUUAAUUUUUGGUAACUAAAUAUAGAUCUGUGCAUCAUGUAGUGGUGUUUCUUUCUUUGUACAGUGUGCCAUUACCCAUCUUCUUAAGCAAAUACAGCAUGUGUGGAGUUUAUUUAUAGUUUUGCCCUCUAGUCUUCAUUGGCUCUUACUUUAUUUGGGGCAUAAUUCACUAGGGUUAUGGGUUGCAAUAUUUAAGGAUCAGCUGAGGAGAAGGAGACAAAAGACACGUGGUCUUGUCUUCUGUAUAAUACUGAAGCGUGUCCACACCUGGAUUACUAUUGCAUCAUGGUGUAUGUGGUUUAGGUAUGAAACGGAAAGAUAGGCAUAAUAUAGAAAGCUUUACCGUAUGUUAAAUAUCACUAAUUGAAGCUGCCAUUUACUGGGUGAUUGUCAUGAACAUGCACUGUGUUAGGAACUUUAUGUAUAUUAGUGUACUUAAACCUCACAGCCGUACUCGGAGUGGGUUGUUGCUUCCUUUGUACAAAGUAGGCAACUGGGUUUGAGGUCUGUGGCAAGUCACGACAGAACAACAAGGAUAAGCAUGGAUAAACAUGGAUAAGCUUGGAUUUGGUGAAGAAAUUGAAAAAUCCCGAAGCUGAGUAAAUUCUUUAUAACUUCUGUGAGGUGGGUCAGAACAUUUAAGUUUUCCAUUAGAUUCAUUUCCUCCAAAGGUGAUACAUCAGGGUAAGUAUAAAUCAACACUAGUAUUUAACAUCCUAAGAUUAGAAGGAACUUUUAUAGCUCUCUAGAAAAGUGUUUGCAAAAUUUAUUAACUGAGAUUACAUAAAUGUCUAAAGGGAAGCUGGGGAGUCAGAGAACAUUCAUGAUCUCUUUGAAGGUCUUUGUAGGUCACAGAAAUUUAUUAAAGAGAUUUGUGGUUUUGCUCCUUGAAAUUAUAUGUAGGAUUCUGUUUGUUUUACUGUGAAACUUCUCCACAGAUGACUCUGAAUCGAACCGCACACUUCAAACUGGAGUGAACUAAACUAGUGAAAAUUCAAGAGGGGCCCAAAUACUUUAAAUGAUCUAUCAACCACAAUAUUUGAAGGAAAAAGAACACUUACUGAGUAUUUUUGAAUAAAUCCACACUGGAAAAGAAUCAAAAUUUGCUAAGACUACUAACUUGGAAUAACACCAUAACUGUGAACCCAGAUAUCAUGUCCUUAGUCUUAAAAUGAGGCAGUUGAUGAACUUCCUGGACAGAAAUGAAAACACACUUUUUAAACAUGAAUAACAAAUUUAGAGUUAGAUAAAAACUGUACAUGUUUAUUACAGAAAACAUUAAAAAAACAAAUUGAGUGGGAUGCCUGGGUGGCUCAGUUAGUUAAGGGUCCAACUCUUGAUCUCAUCUCAGAUCAUGAUCUCACAGUUCAUGAGUUCCAGCCCCGCAUCCGGCUCUGCACUGAUUGCAUGGCACCUGAUUGGGAUUCUGUCUCCCCUUCUCUCUGCCCCUCCCCUGCUUGUGUGUGCACUCUCAAAAUAAAUAAACUUAAAAGAAAACCAAACAAUUGAGCAAAGAGGAAAAAAAUGCCCAAAACCAGUCAUCGCUGCAAUAUGAACAAUGGUAAGAUUCUGCAUAUACAUUCCUAGCCUUAAAAAAAAAAAAAAACAACAACACAUAUGUGUAUAAUUCUAUGGACACACACUUAUGUAUUCAAAGUAUAACUUCUCAAAAAGUUUUCUUUUUAAAAAAAAUUUUAACAUUUAUUUAUUUAUGAGAGUCAUAGACAGACAUGAGUGGAGGAGGGGCAGAGAGAGAAGGAGACAUAAUCCAAAGCAGGCUCCAGGCUCUGAGGUGUUAGCACAGAUUCUGACGUGGGGAUUGAACCCAUGAACCAUGAGAUCAUGACCUAAGCCAAAGUCAGAUGCUUAACUGAUGGAGCCACCCAGGCGCCCCCCAAAGAAAGUUUUCUUGAGGGUAAGACUGACAACUGAUCUAUAGAUCUUUCUGAAAAAGUGACAUUUUAAUGUAUUUGUGUGUGUGUGUGUGUGUGUGUGUGUGUGUGUGUGUGUGUGUAUAGAUUUUGCUCUGGGUGAAAUGAUUAAGACCUGAAAUUUCCAUCUGGCAAUAAAUAAGCCAAAAAGAUGUUAAAGAAACAAUUA